AGUGAACGCUGGCGGUAGGCCUAACACAUGCCAGUCGAACGGUAGCACAGUAAGAGCUUGCUCUUACGGGUGGCGAGUGGCGGACGGGUGAGGAAUACAUCGGAAUCUACUUUUUCGUGGGGGCUAACGUAGGGAAACUUACGCUAAUACCGCAUACGACCUACGGGUGAAAGCAGGGGAUCUUCGGACCUUGCGCGAUUGAAUGAGCCGAUGUCGGAUUAGCUAGUUGGCGGGGUAAAGGCCCACCAAGGCGACGAUCCGUAGCUGGUCUGAGAGGAUGAUCAGCCACACUGGAACUGAGACACGGUCCAGACUCCUACGGGAGGCAGCAGUGGGGAAUAUUGGACAAUGGGCGCAAGCCUGAUCCAGCCAUACCGCGUGGGUGAAGAAGGCCUUCGGGUUGUAAAGCCCUUUUGUUGGGAAAGAAAAGCAGCAGGUUAAUACCCCGCUGUUCUGACGGUACCCAAAGAAUAAGCACCGGCUAACUUCGUG
rnacentral:rRNA from 1 species